rnacentral:rRNA from 1 species
AACGCGUAGAUAAUCUACCCAGGUGUUUUGGGACAACCUGAGGAAACUCAGGCUAAUACCGGAUGUGGUCUACGGACUAAAGGUUGCCUCUCCUUGGAAGCAAUCGCUAAUAGAUGAGUCCGCGUUGGAUUAGCUAGAUGGUGGGGUAAAGGCCUACCAUGGCGACGAUCCAUAGCUGGUUUGAGAGGAUGAUCAGCCACACUGGGACUGAGACACGGCCCAG